UUCGCUCCUGUAGCCUGAGCCAUAGGUUCCGUUUGGCACACGGGACUGAGACACCAGGGGAAAAGAAACAGAAGGACGUAAUGACCUACCCGAGGCCCUCUGCGUCCUGGGUUUCCUUUGGCUCCUUUAUCCCCCACUGCACCGUACAGGCCCUGAGGAGAAAGCAUCAGGAAAAUGUCAUUGAUAUCGGUUUGUUUCCAGAGUUCAUGCUCAUCUUCCGGUGUCAUGGAUCGGACACCUGACUCUCGCUCGGCAGCCAUGUCCAGUUGAAGCUCAUUUGUUACUGAGGACAUGAACGACUCUAACAUCCGAACAGCCGACCUGAGCCGUCCCUCUGAUGUCCCUCGUUCCUAAUCCUGUCCCACUCCUAAAGAGAACCUCAACGUCCUCAUCUCUGCUACCUCCAUCUCUGCCUCAUGUCUUUUCCUCACUGCUACAGUGUCUAACACAUACAUCUUUUCCACACUCCCUGUCACACUCGAUGCUUGACCCCAAAAACUCCGGCACCUUCUUGACCUCAGCCUCCGGUAACCUCACUGUUCUGCUUCCCUACCUGCACGCAGGACCCCGUGAUGCCGAAGGGAGGCAACGUCAGCGGAUGGGCCCAUUAUACUGCUUCACCACUGAUGAUAGUGAUUCCUAUGAGGACGGCCAUGAGAGGGCACUGCUGAGGGCGAGCGUGGAGCGCGUGUCCUCACACACAUCCUGAAUUCAGGGGAAUAGUAAAGCUGUGUAUUUACACCCUGAGAAUGUAAUACCAGAGUCAGAGAUGUUAGAGCAGUUCACUAAGUGUGUGUGUGUGUGUGUAAUGUGGGCUUAUAGGGUUUUAGAAGGUCUAUAAUCCUGUUAGUGUUUACAAACAUAGGAUAAAACAAUGAUUUUAUUUAUUUUAGUCCCGUAAAUCUGUAAGAAAAAAAAAUCUGGUUUCUGCCAACUCAGAUAUAAACGUACACUGUGAUUGAUUUUUAAAUGCUUUAUAACUGCUUUAUAUGACUGAAGAGGCAACAUUGAGUAAAAAAAGUACUGUUGUGAUGAUUGAAGCUGAGAAUCAGCACUCAGAACAGAAUCAUGUUGUGGUGUGAUUCUGUUCAUAUCAAACCAUUAUGUUUUAUCUCUGUGUUGUUUUUGUCUUCUUAUGAAAUGUGUGUUAUGACAUAUUCAAAGCACACACACACACACACACACUUCAGGGCAUGUUAAAUCACAUUGACAUAGACACAGGCACCAGGAAGAUAUGUUCAGUCACAGAGCAGCAAUGUGAAACUUCCAACCACCAGCAACAAAGCCAGUGUUUUUUUUUUAUGCUCAAACACACACAACCAAACACACACACCCCUCCUGCUGCAGUUCAGUUUAGUAAAGCAUUGGGUCACGUCCUGAAGAGCCGCAGAAGGAUUCGGUGUUGAGGAUAAACCUGAGAAACCAAGACCUGUUUCAAUAAGUGCUUGUAGUGUAGUGGGAAAGUGUUUGUCUCUCAAGCCUGAAAGUGCUGGUUCAAGGCUUGUCUUGGUUGUUUCUUCUUUUUCUGCAAUAAACAAUAAGUAUACUAAAG